UGAUAAUGCACUGAGGGGUUUCAAGGGCUUAUUGCAAGUAAGUUAAGUGCCUCUGCAGAAUACACAGAAUUCUAGGAAGCUAAAAUUUCUCACUGAAGAAGAAAGAUGACCAAAAUACCCAACAAUAUGUUUAGUGAUUCAUCAUGAUUUUCAAACUACAUUCACUUUUCUUUAAAAGAAUGUGUGUGUGUGUUUAAAAACAUUAAACAGAGUUGGAAUACAGCUUCAAGGAUUCAACAAUCCCUGAAGAGCAUCACAUAACAGAAUCAAAAGAAACAAACUGAAGGAAACUGUGGACAAAGAUGAAAGGAUCUAAGAAUCUGGAAAUCAUCUAGUAAAAAAGACUCCUGAGCACUGAAAGAGACCCCCAUGCAAGUCCUAAGAAGACAGAAAAGCAAUGAAGUGUUGAAUCAAUAGGAAAAGUACUUUGCUAAGAGGCAAGAACAUUGCUUCUGCUUGCAAAGGCAAACAACUCUGAGACUUCAAAGAAAACUUUUUUCCUGCCCUUAUAAAAAUUUCUUUUUAUUUAAAUCUUUAAGAACCCAGUGAUAAAACUGUAUCUGAUAAUGGCU
rnacentral:lncRNA from 1 species